ACACGACUCACGGCAACGGAUAUCUAGGCUCUCGCAUCGAUGAAGAACGUAGCAAACUGCGAUACUUGGUGUGAAUUGCAGAAUCCCGUGAACCAUCGAGUCUUUGAACGCAAGUUGCGCCCGAAGCCAUUAGGCCGAGGGCACGUCUGCCUGGGCGUCACGC
rnacentral:rRNA from 1 species